rnacentral:piRNA from 1 species
UCAAUUUUUCAGUUUCGUGCU